AACCAAAGGUGAGGUUACACUGCUGACUGUCAAAGGGGAAAUAAGAGACGUCCACCCUACAUGAGCUCUUGGUAAUAGCAGGGGAGUCCCAGAACGAUGUCUGGUCUCCAAACAAGGCUACUGGGUAUUCGAAUGACCUCAAGUCCAUCAUACUCAUCUUUGUCCCAGCUUAGGUAUGCAUCAUGCCAGAUUUGACGCACCCACAGGUCUUUCCUUGCUUGCAUCCUAGAAGGGUGGAGCUAAGACACAAGGAAAGGAAGCAAGGAAAGGAACCGAGGAUCCAUAAAGAAGAAUUGAGAAGCACCCAGUGACCGUUGGCGACUGGAUGUGGCGUGUCCAGUCGCGCGACAAAGUUGAGAAAUGUUAACUUUAUGCAAAUUAUGAGCGACUUUUGGGAGCGACUACCAAUGAGAACGAAGCAGUGGAGUUCACGUCAUCCGUCUCUCGUCAGUAGUCCACUGGAGUGGACGGUAAUCAUUUGUUUAUGACAACCAGAUUUAGAAACACCUCUUUUGAAAGAGACGAGCGCCAAACAGGGACAAGUUGCUUAUAAUGUGAAUGUACCUUAA